rnacentral:rRNA from 1 species
UGAGUAUCCUAAGGCCAGCGAGAGAACUAUUGUUAAGGAACUCGGCAAAAUGACCCCGUAACUUAGGGAGAAGGGGUGCCUGUCUAUGACAGGCCGCAGAGAAUAGGCCCAAGCGACUGUUUACCAAAAACACAGGUUUCUGCUAAGUCGCAAGACGAUGUAUAGGAGCUGACGCCUGCCCGGUGCUGGAAGGUUAAGGGGAUCUGUUAGAGCAAUCGAAGCAGUGAACUUAAGCCCCAGUAAACGGCGGCCGUAACAAUAACGGUCCUAAGGUAGCGAAAUUCCUUGUCGGGUAAGUUCCGACCCGCACGAAAGGCGUAACGAUUUGGGCACUGUCUCAACAAUAGACUCGGUGAAAUUGUAAUCCCGGUGAAGAUGCCGGGUACCUGCGACAGGACGGAAAGACCCCAUGGAGCUUUACUGUAGCUUGACGUUGGGUCUUGGUACUACAUGUACAGGAUAGGUGGGAGACUAUGAAGCAUGGACGCCAGUCUGUGUGGAGUCAUCCUUGGGAUACCACCCUUGUAGUACUGGGAUCCUAACCAUAGGCCUUGAAUCAGGUCUUGGAACACCGUCAGGUGGGCAGUUUGACUGGGGCGGUCGCCUCCUAAAAAGUAACGGAGGCGCUCAAAGGUUUCCUCAGCACGGUCGGAAAUCGUGCGAAGAGUGUAAAGGCAAAAGGAAGCUUGAUUGCAAGACAUACAGGUCGAGCAAGGACGAAAGUCGGACUUAGUGAUCCGGUGGUACCGCAUGGAAGGGCCAUCGCUCAACGGAUAAAAGCUACCCUGGGGAUAACAGGCUUAUCUCCCCCAAGAGUCCACAUCGACGGGGAGGUUUGGCACCUCGAUGUCGGCUCAUCACAUCCUGGGGCUGUAGUAGGUCCCAAGGGUUGGGCUGUUCGCCCAUUAAAGUGGUACGCGAGCUGGGUUCAGAACGUCGUGAGACAGUUCGGUCCCUAUCCGUCGCAGGCGUAGGAAAUUUGAGAAGACCUGUCCUUAGUACGAGAGGACCGGGAUGGACGUACCUCUGGUGUACCAGUUGUUCUGCCAAGGGCAUGGCUGGGUAGCUAUGUACGGAAUGGAUAAGCGCUGAAAGCAUCUAAGCGCGAAGCCAACUUCAAGAUAAGAUUUCCCACCGUAAGGGUAAGACCCCAGGAAGACUACCUGGUUGAUAGGUCGAAGGUGUAAGUGCAGUAAUGUAUUUAGCUUAUCGAUACUAAUAGGUCGAGGACUUGACU